GAUGAACGCUGGCGGCGUGCCUAAUACAUGCAAGUCGAGCGAAGGGGGGAGGGGUGAGUAAAGCGUGGAUACCCGCCGUUAAGACUGCGAUAACUUCGGGAAACAGGUGCUAAACCGGAUACUCAGAGUUGGAUCCACGAUGCAGUCGCUAGUUGGUAAGGUAAAGGCUUACAAAGGCAACGAUGCAUCGCCGACCUGAGAGGGUGAUUGGCCACACUGGAACAGAGACACGGUCCAGACUCCUACGGGAGGCAGCAGUAGGGAAUCUUCCGCAAUGGACGAAAGCCUGACCGAGCAACGCCGCGUGAGUGAUGAAGGUCUUCGGAUCGUAAAACUCUGUUAUUAGAGAAGCGGUACCUAAUCAGAAAGCCACGGCUAACUACGUGCCAGCAGCCGCGGUAAUUC
rnacentral:rRNA from 1 species